GCCUGGAUAGCUCAGUUGGUAGAGCGUCAGACAUUCAAUCUGAGGGUCCAAGGUCCCUGUUUGGACA